rnacentral:rRNA from 1 species
CCUACGGGUGGCAGCAGUCGAGAAUCAUUCACAAUGGGGGAAACCCUGAUGGUGCGACGCCGCGUGGGGGAAUGAAGGUCUUCGGAUUGUAAACCCCUGUCAUGUGGGAGCAAAUUAAAAAGAUAGUACCACAAGAGGAAGAGACGGCUAACUCUGUGCCAGCAGCCGCGGUAAUACAGAGGUCUCAAGCGGUGUUCGGAAUCACUGGGCGUAAAGCGUGCGUAGGCUGUUUCGUAAGUCGUGUGUGAAAGGCGCGGGCUCAACCCGCGGACGGCACAUGAUACUGCGAGACUAGAGUAAGGGAGGGGGAACCGGAAUUCGCGGUGUAGCAGUGAAAUGCGUAGAUAUCGAGAGGAACACUCGUGGCGAAGGCGGGUUCCUGGACAUUAACUGACGCUGAGGCACGAAGGCCAGGGGAGCGAAAGGGAUUAGAUACCCUAGUAGUC